rnacentral:rRNA from 1 species
UACGGGGGGGGCAAGCGUUGUUCGGAAUUACUGGGCGUAAAGGGUUUGUAGGUGGCUCGCUAAGUCAGACGUGAAAUCCCUCAGCUUAACUGGGGAACUGCGUCUGAGACUGGCAAGCUUGAGUGCAGGAGAGGAACGCGGAAUUCCAGGUGUAGCGGUGAAAUGCGUAGAUAUCUGGAGGAACACCGGUGGCGAAGGCGGCGUUCUGGACUGUAACUGACACUGAUGAACGAAAGCCAGGGAGCAAACGGG